rnacentral:rRNA from 1 species
UACAGAGGGUGCGAGCGUUGUCCGGAAUCACUGGGCGUAAAGAGCGCGUAGGCGGCCCGACAAGUCCGCUGUGAAAGUCAGGGGCUCAACCCUUGGAUGCCGGUGGAUACUGUCGGGCUAGAGUCCGGAAGAGGCGAGUGGAAUUCCUGGUGUAGCGGUGAAAUGCGCAGAUAUCAGGAGGAACACCGAUGGCGAAGGCAGCUCGCUGGGACGGUGACUGACGCUGAGGCGCGAAAGCGUGGGGAGCAAACAGGAU